rnacentral:rRNA from 1 species
CCUACGGGAGGCAGCAGUGAGGAAUAUUGGUCAAUGGACGAGAGUCUGAACCAGCCAAGUAGCGUGAAGGAUGACUGCCCUAUGGGUUGUAAACUUCUUUUAUAUGGGAAUAAAAUGUUCCACGUGUGGGAUUUUGUAUGUACCAUAUGAAUAAGGAUCGGCUAACUCCGUGCCAGCAGCCGCGGUAAUACGGAGGAUCCGAGCGUUAUCCGGAUUUAUUGGGUUUAAAGGGAGCGUAGGUGGAUUGUUAAGUCAGUUGUGAAAGUUUGCGGCUCAACCGUAAAAUUGCAGUUGAAACUGGCAGUCUUGAGUACAGUAGAGGUGGGCGGAAUUCGUGGUGUAGCGGUGAAAUGCUUAGAUAUCACGAAGAACUCCGAUGGCGAAGGCAGUUCACUGGACUGCAACUGACACUGAGGCUCGAAAGUGUGGGUAUCAAACAGGGUUAGAUACCCUUGUAGUC